UGAGCACUUGCACAGGUCCUCCCCCAAGCAGUGUGGCCAGGAUUUGGUAGCUGGUGCUAAGAGAAAACUCUUGUUUACAUUCUUGCCCUGGGAUUGUACCAGUGGCAGCUGUCACUCAAUGGGACAGAG